GAAAAAGGCUCGCGUCACCCAAAACUGAUCUGAUUAUUUUAACGUCGGUGCUCGAACUGUCCCAUAUGUUUUUGCUGUAUAAAAGUGGACAGCCGAUAUAUCUGUAUCUGAUCAUUAGAGUUUUAAGGGCAGCGCUUGCUGGAGAACAUAUAAUUUGUAAGUAUCAAUUAUGGUUAACUCUCUGUUGCUUUAAAGUGUAGUAGAUGAGUUUGGUACAUAGAAUCAACAAGUCGACAUAUAUUCAAUCAAGAAAAGACGGUGAGAAAACAUAGAGGAUUGUUUUGGGCCAACCCAAAACCAUGGAGGAUUCUAGUGCCUUUGCUGCUUUCCCGGCAGACGAUUCAGAGCGAACACCAGAUCACAGAGGCUGUAAACGUCCACUAACUGAAGCUCAGAGAAAAGCAAGAAAUGAGCGUGAUAGAAAACGCCGGCAAGAACAUAGGGUGGAGUACGAGAGACUUCAGAAUGUGGAGUCCCAGUACGACGACUUGAAGACCCAACUCGGGAUCCAGACAAACACUAUUUAGCGAAUUAGAGGAGGAGAACCAAAGGCUGAAGAAUAGGGAGUCACAUCUUAAUAAAAGAACAGAGGAACUCGAGAAUGCUCUUCUUGAAAGGGCAGCACCUGUAAGACGACAUAACCAAGAAAAAUUUUUUGCUUAAUUUUACCAGUAUAAUCUAAUCUUUGAUUAAACUUUACUUUGUUUUAAUUUGUCAAUGAAGGAUCUACUCCUCCACGGGAAUCAAUUACGACCAAUGGUUCUAAUAGGUGGAGAGAUUAACCAAAUGGUAUGGACACGGGCACAUCUUCCGCUGAUGCCAGAUUUAUGUAUCAGCGCUGCGGUCCAAACCCAAGUAAUUGCAGCAAGACCAGCGGAGGGUGUCAUUGACAAGAAAACAAUAACCAAUCAGUUCACGAUGAAUGUCCCGUUCCUGUAUGUGGCAUCCAAAACGGAGGAAGUGACUUGCAUCGGGCGAGGGGCAAUUGCUCAGCGAGUCCCGAGGGGGGUUUGGUCCAGUACUUGUUCGAGUGGAUCCCUCACCAGACCAACCAGAAAUCUUCGGAGAAUUUGGGAUGGUCUCCAGUAAAUGUUGGCUGGAUUCAGAAUUUGGCUCCAUCCGGCCACACGGGUUCAUCAUGUGGUGCUCAAGCCAAGUUUCCAAUAAAAUUUCUGCUCUGGAAUUCCGUAGGGACUCUGGAUACCUAUGGUCAGAGGAUUGUGAUGGAUCUUAUCAACCGUUUCCGACCCGCCGUUUUGGUCAUUGCUGAGACCAAGUUUACCUCGUGCCAGAGAGGAAGAAAUCAAGGACACGUUUCAUUUUGAUGCUCAGCGUGUUCCGCCUAACUUGGAAUUUGUGGGAGGGAUGUGAGCAUGUGGCUGUUGUGGCGCUCUGAUGUGGUGGAGGUUGAAGUUCUUUUCUUCACAGAGCAAGAAAUCCAUGCUCGCAUUAACGGGAGUCACUUUAAGAGUAUCGAAGAGGCUCAGUCAUGGCUUCUAGCAUCACCAACUCAUAGUGAAGAUGCAGCAAAUAAUGCGCAUAUUACUCAAGGUCCAAGGAGUUCUCUAGGUGGUAGAUUGUAUACCGAUGAGCUUGUGCACGAUUUUACAAAGUAACUUGAUGCCAAAGACAAGAGCCAAGAUGAUUUUUCAGACUUCAGAGGCUUAAUGGAGGAAGUGGUAAAAAGUGGGACGGUCACUUUACCUCCUUCUCUGGCUCUUAUUGAUAAGAAGAUCGAGAAGAAGUAUGGUGAGAUUGCUGCAGAGAGCAAACAAAGCAGCUUCACAGCUAUGCCUAGCCGUGUUCUGUUGUGUGCGGAAAUCAAAGAGAAGGAUGAGCUGCAACUUGAGAGUAUCGACUAGAAAAAGAUGUUGUUAUGGAGGGAUGCAAUCAAUAGUGCUCUGUAUGGUUUAAAAUAGGCUCCUAGAGCUUGGUAUGCUCGGAUAGACAAUUUUCUUACUUCAGAGGGGUAUCACAGGAGUGCAAACGAGCCUACUUUGCAUGUUUACAGUCUUACUGACUCAGUCAAAGUAAUACUUUCUUUAUAUGUUGAUGAUCUGUUGCUUAUUGGGACAGAUGAGUCAACUUCAAUGAAUUGCAAAGAGAAGCUGAAGAAAGAAUUUGAGAUGUCUGAUCUGGGAGAAAUGCACUACUUUCUGGGGUUGCAAUUUAUACAGUGCCCUGAUUAUAUUUAUAUGCACCAAGGCAAGUAUGCUUCAGAAUUAUUGAAGAAGUUCCAUAUGGAAAACUGUAAAGUAGUGGAAACUUCUUUGGCAACAAACUACAAGUUGAGCAAAGAUGAUGAGGCUCCAGAUGCUAUAGGCAAUGCUUACAGAAGCUUGAUUUGUAGUUUACUGUACUCAACUGCCUCAAGACCAGAUAUCAUGUUCUCUGUAAGCUUAUUAUGUCGAUUUAUGCAGAAGCCAUCACAGUUGCUGAAAGGUACUCAGAUAUGUUAGGGGAACAGUUGAUUAUGGAUUGAAGUUUGAAAAAGCAGAUGGCAGAGAGCUUGUUGUUCACUGUGAUAGCGACUGGGCUGGAAGUGUAGAUGACUCCAGGAGCACUGGAGGUUACUGUUUUUCUUUUGGUAGUGCUGUCUUCUCCUGGAAUUUCAAGAAGCAGGAAGUUGUUGCUCAAUCUUCAGCAGAGGCUGAAUAUAUUGCAGCAGCAGCAGCUGCAAAUCAAGCAAUUUGGCUCAGGAAAAUAGUGUGUGAUUUGGGAUUCAAAUAGGAAAAGGGAACUACACUGUUCAUUGAUAAUCAAUAAGCAAUUUCGAUAGCCAGAAAUAUAGUGAAUCAUUGGAGAACCAAGCACAUCAAGGUGAAGUUUCAUUCAAUUUGAGAAGCUGCAAAGGAUGAUGAGAUACAGGUUAAACAUUGUGGAACUGAUGUUCAGCUUGUGGACAUAUUUACUAAGAAUUUGAGCAAAGAAUGGUUUCUGUGGCUAAGAGAAAAACUCGGAGUCUGCAAAACAAAACCCAAGGGGGUGUGUUGAAGUAUUGGGUUUUGUUUCUGGAAAGAACAAGCUUCACUGGUUUGGCAAUGGUGAUUCCCGGGAAAUUCAAAUCAGUGAAGAAGAAGAAGAGCACAUGACUUGCAUGUGACUCAUUCAAACGUUAUGUCGCUUAGCUUACUUUCAUUGUCGUUUUCAGCACUUUUGUUUAUCUUCUUUAAGUUGGCAAAACUAUGCCGUUUCAAGUAGUUAUUUUCCUUCGUUUUAGUAAGCUGUCAGAAAAAAAUAUUUUAGAGUCUCCAAUGCAAAAUAUUCCUCCGUUGUUGUUUGCUGUGGCCAGGUGGCCUUU